rnacentral:rRNA from 1 species
AGGAAAGUAGGGGAUCGCAAGACCUUGCGCUUUUGGAGCGGCCGAUGUCUGAUUAGCUAGUUGGUGAGGUAAAGGCUUACCAAGGCUUCGAUCAGUAGCUGGUCUGAGAGGACGACCAGCCACACUGGGACUGAGACACGGCCCAGACUCCUACGGGAGGCAGCAGUGGGGAAUUUUGGACAAUGGGGGCAACCCUGAUCCAGCCAUGCCGCGUGAGUGAAGAAGGCCUUCGGGUUAUAAAGCUCUUUCAGCCGGAACGAAAAGGUUACGGUUAAUACCCGUGACUAAUGACGGUACCGGAAGAAGAAGCACCGGCUAACUACGUGCCAGCAGCCGCGGUAAUACGUAGGGUGCGAGCGUUAAUCGGAAUUACUGGGCGUAAAGCGUGCGCAGGCGGUUUUGUAAGUCAGAUGUGAAAUCCCCGGGCUUAACCUGGGAACUGCGUUUGAAACUACAAAGCU